rnacentral:hammerhead_ribozyme from 1 species
AUUCAGCUGAUGAGUCCCAAACAGGACGAAACGCGGGUGCUAAGU